AUGUAUGAUUUUUGAAUCCCUUUAUUCGUAGGAGUAUCUCCAUGUUUCACUCUUAUAGGAAAGAUUUCCGUGAGCACUCCAGAAAAAGAUAGAAGCACCAGAUAGAAAACAUACAUUUGACAGAAGAAUUUAAGAUAGAAUAUAUUGAAGAAGAUUAUAGAAGAAUAUAAUGAAGAUAGAAGCAAUGGAAUGAUCAAUACCAACUAUUCAUUUUGGAUCAUCUUUGUAAUAAUGCCAAACUUUGUGAUCCACUCAGACAAUCAAAUUAUCUGAUUUAUCAUCUCAAGAAAUUCCAAAUUAAUUUAUGUCAACUACCCUGAAAAGUAUCUGAAAGGAGAUUUGAUGAGCGCUAAUAACUAUUGCCGGUACAAGGAUUUAACAAGGCUCCUCCUGAUCAGAUCCAUCCAAAGGUGGUGUUCAAAGUGUGACAGUAUCAACAAGACAUCACAUUCAGGUGUGAGUCCUGACUCACCCAGCUAUGACUUUACCCAUGAAUACAAUAAUAUAGAGGAGCCACUUCUCUGAUACCAAUUUUCAACUCUUCUACGCUGCUUGUUCCAUUCGACAGUGAGUAAAUUUUCCAUUAUUUAUAUCUACUCAUCAAUGUACUAAUUUUGGUGAUGUAAUAAAUCAAUUUAGCCAUGUUAUAACCAAUUAUUAAUUGAAAUCAUGUUUUUCAUGUAAAAAUAAAG